rnacentral:rRNA from 1 species
UACGUAGGGGGCAAGCGUUGUCCGGAUUUACUGGGCGUAAAGAGCGUGUAGGCGGCCUCGCAGGUCCGUUGUGAAAACUGGAGGCUCAACCUUCAGACGUCGACGGAAACCGUGUGGCUAGAGUCCGGAAGAGGAGAGUGGAAUUCCUGGUGUAGCGGUGAAAUGCGCAGAUAUCAGGAAGAACACCAAUGGCGAAGGCAGCUCUCUGGGACGGUACUGACGCUGAGACGCGAAAGCGUGGGGAGCGAACAGG